GACGAACGCUGGCGGCGUGCCUAAUACAUGCAAGUCGAACGCACUCUCGUUAGAUUGACGACGCUUGCUUCUGAUUGAUAACAUUUGAGUGAGUGGCGGACGGGUGAGUAACACGUGGGUAACCUGCCCUAAAGUGGGGGAUAACAUUUGGAAACAGAUGCUAAUACCGCAUAAAACCUAGCACCGCAUGGUGCAAGGUUGAAAGAUGGUUUCGGCUAUCACUUUAGGAUGGACCCGCGGUGCAUUAGUUAGUUGGUGAGGUAAAGGCUCACCAAGACCGUGAUGCAUAGCCGACCUGAGAGGGUAAUCGGCCGCACUGGGACUGAGACACGGCCCAGACUCCUACGGGAGGCAGCAGUAGGGAAUCUUCCACAAUGGACGAAAGUCUGAUGGAGCAACGCCGCGUGAGUGAAGAAGGUUUUCGGAUCGUAAAACUCUGUUGUUGGAGAAGAACGUAUUUGAUAGUAACUGAUCAGGUAGUGACGGUAUCCAACCAGAAAGCCACGGCUAACUACGUG
rnacentral:rRNA from 1 species